CCCAGGGUCCACGCCGGUUCACACCCUGGGCUAUUUUCUGCCGCCCCGUUGGGGCU
rnacentral:sRNA from 1 species